rnacentral:pre_miRNA from 1 species
AGGAGGAACAGCCCUAGUUGCGGGGCCAGCUCUGGAAACCUGGAUUCAGCCCCUGCAGGAACUCCGUAGCUCUCUGUCUGCAGGGCCUGGAGGCUCCGGGGCGGG